GGGAAUUAGCUCAGUUGGGAGAGCACCUGCUUUGCAAGCAGGGGGUCAGGGGUUCGAAUCCCCUAUUCUCC
rnacentral:tRNA from 1 species